AAUAUUGGACAAUGGGCGCAAGCCUGAUCCAGCCAUGCCGCGUGAGUGAAGAAGGCCCUAGGGUUGUAAAGCUCUUUCACCCGCGAAGAUGAUGACGGUACCGGAAGAAGAAGCACCGGCUAACUCUGUGCCAGCAGCCGCGGUAAUACAGAGGGUGCAAGCGUUGUUCGGAAUUACUGGGCGUAAAGCGCGCGCAGGCGGGAUGGCAAGUCGGAUGUGAAAGCCCUCGGCUCAACCGAGGAAGUGCAUUCGAAACUGCCGUUCUUGAGUGUCGGAGAGGGUGAUGGAAUUCCCGGUGUAGAGGUGAAAUUCGUAGAUAUCGGGAGGAACACCAGUGGCGAAGGCGAUCACCUGGACGAACACUGACGCUGAGGCGCGAAAGCGUGGGGAGCAAAC
rnacentral:rRNA from 1 species